rnacentral:rRNA from 1 species
GACGAACGCUGGCGGCGCGCUUAACACAUGCAAGUCGAGCGAAGCUGCGGACGGGUGAGUAACACGUGAGUAACCUGCCUUAGACAUUGGGAUAGCCUCGGGACACCGGGAUUAAUACCCAAUGGUCUAAGAGGGACUCGGGUCCCAUUAGCUAGUUGGUGAGGUAACGGCCCACCAAGGCGACGAGGGGUAGCCGGCCUGAGAGGGGGAACGGCCACAGUGGAACGGAGAAACGGUCCAAACUCUACGGGAGGCAGCAGUGGGGAAUAUUGCACAAUGGAGGGAACUCUGAGGCAGCGACGCUGCGUGAACGAAGAAGGCUUUCGAGUCGUACAGUUCUUUUAUAUGGGAAGCGGUACCAUAAGAAAAAGCCCCGGCUAACUACGUGCCAGCAGCCGCGGUAAUUC